rfam:Citrus clementina cultivar Clemenules unplaced genomic scaffold scaffold_5, whole genome shotgun sequence.
GCUGGAUUGGAGCGUGUGGCUGUUAAUCACAAGGUCGAUGGUUCAAGCCCUUCCUCUAGCA